GACAGAGGGGCAAGCGUUGCUCGGAUUUACUGGGCGUAAAGAGCGCGCAGGCGGUCGAUCAAGUCGAGUGUGAAAGCCCCCGGCUCAACUGGGGAGGGUCAUUCGAUACUGAUCGACUCGAAGGCAGGAGAGGGUAGUGGAAUUCCCGGUGUAGUGGUGAAAUGCGUAGAUAUCGGGAGGAACACCGGUGGCGAAGGCGGCAUCCUGGACCGGCAUUGACGCUGAGGCGCGAAAGCCAGGGGAGCAAAGCGGG
rnacentral:rRNA from 1 species